rnacentral:rRNA from 1 species
GUGUCAGCCGCCGCGGUAAUACGAAGGGGGCUAGCGUUGUUCGGAUUUACUGGGCGUAAAGCGCACGUAGGCGGACUAUUAAGUCAGGGGUGAAAUCCCGGGGCUCAACCCCGGAACUGCCUUUGAUACUGGUAGUCUUGAGUUCGAGAGAGGUGAGUGGAACUCCGAGUGUAGAGGUGAAAUUCGUAGAUAUUCGGAGGAACACCAGUGGCGAAGGCGGCUCACUGGCUCGAUACUGACGCUGAGGUGCGAAAGCGUGGGGAGCAAACAGAAUUAGAUACCCUGGUAGUCC